CGGGAGGAGGGAAAAGUGGGAGUUGGGGUCCUGAGCGGCGAGAUAUACUGGAAGGUGAGCACGAAGGAUAUCCACUGCUCCCAUAAAAUGAAUUACCACAGCAAGAAUUAAGAGAGACCGAAGUAGAAUGACCUAUCUUCAAGCUAUGCUCACACCAAUGGUCUCCUAGCUAGUCCCGUCUUUGCCUCUGCCCACUCUUCCAACCUUACCCAACCCUGCCCGUCAGUUCUCCACUCUGCAGCCAAAAUGUCCUCUCUAAAAUGUAUGUUCCUGAUGGGAUUUGAUGGUGGAUUUUAUCGCAGUCUUAGCUUUCUUCAGCCCAGUCCAGCAGUACCCAAACAGGAAGACGUAAGGAUUUUAAGGGUUACCUGGAAGCGUUACCUUCAGUGAUCACAAAACAACCUGACUUGGGCAGCUCGUGCAUUCUUUCCUAGAAAGAACAGAGCGCUUCUGCACCUCACAAGACAGAAACCAGACCCUCUUGCACAAACCCUGGGAACGAAGGAACCAGAUCCCCUUGCACAACCUCCGAGCACUGUGAUAACGUUUAG